UCACAGUGCGGUUUGGCCCAGGAGGUCUGAAUUGAACAGGGACAGCCUGAGCUGAACUUCAGGGAAUGGGAGGUUCCAGUGUUUGCCUGAGGCGUAAGUAGUCAUUCAGCAAUCAGGAACUCUUACCUGGGAGCUGUCCAUCCCAGCUGUUGGCACUUCUGGCACCGUGGAUCUAUUGAGGAGGGCCAACCCAAACAGGCUACUUCUGCUCUUCCUUCAAGGGACAGUCACAAGAUUACCUUCUAUGGAAUGUUUUUAGAAUGGAAAAUGGCUGAAUCCUCUCCAUGAAGGAGCAGGUGUUCUGGGUAUGGUGGACCAAGUCCUUGCUGGGUCUAAUGAGGCAGCAUGACGUGGCAGUGACCUCCAUGAUGACUCGGUGAAGAAGCGAUGACUUUGCCACCCCUCCCUCCAGGCAGUUCACUCUGUCCACCCAACUCCCAUCCCAGUUUGGCUCUUCUGUCUUCUCUCUCCUGCACCCUCUCCCCUCAUGGAGGACUUUAAGUCUCUUUCCUGAAAUGUCCCAUCCUGCUUGCCUUUCAAAGUUUCCUAGAAGGCUUCGAUGGAAGCAGUGUCCAGUUGAUCGCUUCGGGGAGCGUGGGAAAUCUCCCUGAGGUGGACACCAGCCAUCCCUGAUUCCUAAAAACCCACGCUACCUGUGAAUCCCAAGAAUAAAAUCCUGCCUGAUCUCCUUUUCCAA
ensembl:lincRNA Gm15325 predicted gene 15325